rnacentral:rRNA from 1 species
CGGUGGGGGGUUGGCUAAACAUGCAAGUCGAACGAGAAAGUGGAGCAAUCCAUGAGUACAGUGGCGUACGGGUGACCAUUAAGAGACUAACCUACCCUUGAGUGGGGAAUAACUUCGGCCUUACCGAGGCUAAUACCGCAUAACAUCUACGGAUCAAAUGCGCAGGCAGCUUGAGGAGGGGGUCGCGGCUGAUUACCUCGUUGGCGGGGUAACGGCCCACCAAGGCGAUGAUCAGUAGCCGGCCUGAGAGGGCGCACGGCCACACUGGAACUGAAACACGGUCCAGACUCCUACGGGAGGCAGCAGUGGGGAAUUUUGCGCAAUGGGGGAAACCCUGACGCAGCAACGCCGCGUGGAGGAUGAAGCCCCUUGGGGUGUAAACUCCUUUCGAUCGGGACGAUUAUGACGGUACCGGAUGAAGAAGCACCGGCUAACUCUGUGCCAGCAGCCGCGGUAAUACAGAGGGUGCAAGCGUUGUUCGGAAUUAUUGGGCGUAAAGGGUGCGUAGGCGGUGCGGUAAGUCUUCUGUGAAACCUCCGG